ACCUUCGUGGUGUAGUGGUCAGCACGCUGGAUGUGUAACCUAGAGGUCCGUGGUUCGAUUCCCGACGAAGGCG
rfam:Stegodyphus mimosarum contig95280, whole genome shotgun sequence.